UCAUAUGCUUGUCUCAAAGAUUAAGCCAUGCAUGUCUCAGUGCAAGCCGUCCAGAACGGUGAAACCGCGAAAGGCUCAUUAAAUCAGUUAUGGUUCCUUAGAUUGUGCCCCACACUUACUUGGAUAACUGUGGCAAUUCUAGAGCUAAUACAUGCUUACUGAGUUCCGACGGGCGUUGCAGGCAGUUCACGCUGUCUCGCKGCRUUCGGCAGGAACG
rnacentral:rRNA from 1 species